rnacentral:rRNA from 1 species
UACGUAGGGUGCAAGCGUUAAUCGGAAUUACUGGGCGUAAAGCGUGCGCAGGCGGCUUUGCAAGACAGAUGUGAAAUCCCCGGGCUUAACCUGGGAACUGCAUUUGUGACUGCAUGGCUAGAGUGCGGCAGAGGGGGAUGGAAUUCCGCGUGUAGCAGUGAAAUGCGUAGAGAUGUGGAGGAACACCGAUGGCGAAGGCAGCCUCCUGGGCCAACACUGACGCUCAUGCACGAAAGCGUGGGGAGCAAACAGG